UACGUAGGGACCGAGCGUUGUCCGGAUUCAUUGGGCGUAAAGAGCUCGUAGGCGGCUGCUCAAGUCGAAUGUGAAAACUCGAGGCUCAACCUCGAGCCUGCAUUCGAUACUGGGCGGCUAGAGUCUGGUAGGGGGAUCUGGAAUUCCUGGUGUAGCGGUGGAAUGCGCAGAUAUCAGGAGGAACACCGGUGGCGAAGGCGGCGACCUGGUCCGAUACUGACGCUGAGGCGCGAAAGCGUGGGGAGCAAACAGG
rnacentral:rRNA from 1 species